ACCUACGGGGGGCAGCAGUGGGGAAUCUUGCGCAAUGGUCUAACGACUGACGCAGCGACGCCGCGUGUGGGAGGACGCCUUUCGGGGUGUAAACCACUGUUGCCCGGGACGAACAGCCCUUUUCGAGGGGUCUGACGGUACCGGGUGAGGAAGCACCGGCUAACUCCGUGCCAGCAGCCGCGGUAAUACGGAGGGUGCGAGCGUUGUCCGGAAUCAUUGGGCGUAAAGGGCGCGUAGGUGGCCCGGUCAGCGUGCGGUGAAAGCUCGGGGCUCAACCCCGAGUCGGCCGUGCGAACUACUGGGCUGGAGCACUGUAGAGGCAGGCGGAAUUCCGGGUGUAGCGGUGGAAUGCGUAGAGAUCCGGAAGAACACCGGUGGCGAAGGCGGCCUGCUGGGCAGCUGCUGACACUGAGGCGCGACAGCGUGGGGAGCAAACAGGAUUAGAUACCCCUGUAGUCG
rnacentral:rRNA from 1 species